CCAAAUCACACACACACAGAGUAAGAGACGGGCAGCAAGCUGGACCCAAAAAGAGAGAAAAAGUAGGGGAAAAGGGAAGAAAAAGGGAAAGAAGGAAGGGGAAAAAAAAGGGGAAGAAGAGGAAAAGAGAUUUUUUUGAGAGGAAUACUACUUGGAGCUCAAGUUAUUGAUUCUUGAAUUUCUAUCUAUAUUAAGGUGGUGACGAGGAGAUUGGAAGAGCCUAUCGACCAUCUUAGGUUCAACUUGUAUUAUGGAACACCGAUAAACAUGGUGAAAUUCAGAAGAAAAGA